rnacentral:rRNA from 1 species
GACCUACGGGGGGCAGCAGUGGGGAAUAUUGCACAAUGGGGGGAACCCUGAUGCAGCAACGCCGCGUGAAGGAAGAAGUAAUUCGUUAUGUAAACUUCUAUCAACGGGGAAGAAAGAGAUGACGGUACCCGAGUAAGAAGCCCCGGCUAAUUACGUGCCAGCAGCCGCGGUAAUACGUAAGGGGCGAGCGUUAUCCGGAAUUACUGGGUGUAAAGGGUGAGUAGGCGGCAGGGCAAGUCAUAUGUGAAAUACCGGGGCUCAACUUCGGGGCUGCAUAAGAAAUUGUCCAGAUAGAGAGCAGGAGG